rnacentral:rRNA from 1 species
UACGGAGGAUCCAAGCGUUAUCCGGAUUUAUUGGGCUUAAAGGGUGCGUAGGCGGCCUAUUAAGUCAGGGGUGAAAGACGGUAGCUUAACUAUCGCAGUGCCUUUGAUACUGAUGGGCUUGAAUGGACUAGAGGUAGGCGGAAUGAGACAAGUAGCGGUGAAAUGCAUAGAUAUGUCUCAGAACACCGAUUGCGAAGGCAGCUUACUAUGGUAUUAUUGACGCUGAGGCACGAAAGCGUGGGGAUCAAACAGG